AACGAACGCUGGCGGCAUGCCUAACACAUGCAAGUCGAACGAGACCUUCGGGUCUAGUGGCGCACGGCUGCGUAACGCGUGGGAACCUGCACUUAGGUUCGGAAUAACUCCCCGACAGGGGUGCUAAUACCGGACAAUGUCUUCGGACCAAAGAUUUAUUGCCUUUGGAUGGGCCCGCGUUGGAUUCGCUAGUUGGUAGGGUAAAAGCCUACCAAGGCGACGAUCCAUAGCUGGUUUGGGAGGAUGGUCAGCCACACUGGGACUGAGACGCGGCCGAGACUCCUACGGGAAGGAGGAGAGGGGAAUAUUGGACAGUGGGCGAAAGCCUGAUCCAGCAAUGCCGGGUGAGUGAUGAAAGCCGUAGGGUUGUAAAGCUCUUUUACCCGGGCUGAUAAUGACAGUACCGGGUGAAUAAGCCCCGGCUAACUCCGUG
rnacentral:rRNA from 1 species